GACGGACACUGGCGGCGUGCCUAAUACAUGCAAGUCGAACGCUUUUUCUUUCACCGGAGCUUGCUCCACCGAAAGAAAAAGAGUGGCGAACGGGUGAGUAACACGUGGGUAACCUGCCCAUCAGAAGGGGAUAACACUUGGAAACAGGUGCUAAUACCGUAUAACACUAUUUUCCGCAUGGAAGAAAGUUGAGAGGCGCUUUUGCGUCACUGAUGGAUGGACCCGGGGUGCAUUAGCUAGUUGGUGAGGUAACGGCUCACCAAGGCAACGAUGCAUAGCCGACCUGAGAGGGUGAUCGGCCACACUGGGACUGAGACACGGCCCAGACUCCUACGGGAGGCAGCAGUAGGGAAUCUUCGGCAAUGGACGAAAGUCUGACCGAGCAACGCCGCGUGAGUGAAGAAGGUUUUCGGAUCGUAAAACUCUGUUGUUAGAGAAGAACAAGGAUGAGAGUAAAACGUUCAUCCCUUGACGGUAUCUAACCAGAAAGCCACGGCUAACUACGUGCCAGCAGCCGCAGUAA
rnacentral:rRNA from 1 species